UUCAGUUCUUAUUUUUCGUUAUCUCUGGAUUCCUUUGUUGAGAGAGAGAAUCAAAUGGCAAGGUUCAUCGGCAGGACGCUCCUCCGUCAAGCCACCGGCGCCCACUCCCUGAAAGACGGCAGCUCCGCCCCCCGCGUGGCGGUGACUCACCAGCGGCACCGAUCGUCCCAAGCCACGAAAUUGAAACCCCAAUCAUCGAAGAAGGAGAAAGAGGGAGAGGAAUACGAUGUGGCUCUGAAGCUUCUAGACGAUCACAUACACCGGAUUCUGGUGAAGAAGGCAACGCCCGAUUGGCUCCCUUUUCUUCCGGGAUCCUCGUUUUGGGUCCCACCGGCGCCUUCAGCUUCCAACGUCGCAACGUUCGUUCACAAUUUCACCAACCACCUCACCAAUCAGCAUCUUCAGCAGAAGCAGCUUCAGAAGCAGCCUCUUUCCGUCUCCACCAUCCGUGGUUGGCCCUCCUCUCAGCAUUUCUUCGUUCAAGAGAAUGCAUCUCCUCAUGGUGGGGAUACUGGGUUGGAGUUGAAUAGCCCGGAAACCAUGGACAUGUCAGUGCAAGUCAAGGUUCUCACAUUUCCGGAGAACAUAACUCUCUCAGAAGAUGAGGAAGGUUGAUCUCUGAUUCACCUUAGCCCGUUGCUCUGGGACUGAUGAGAUAUGGAAACAGAAACAGCACUUGUCAAGAUGGUCACAACCUGAUCUCAUGGAGAAGGCCAAGAUGGGAGUGAGGGGACUCUGAACUAUUUGAAGAUAGAGAUUGAGAAGCAAGGAUAAUGCAUUCAACUGGGAAAUCGUACAGGUGCUGAGGUGCAGUACUGGUGGUUUGGGAUUAACCUUCUCUACUUAGUCUCAAUGUUUUGUACAUAGUUGGUUAGUGAACAGGUUAAUUAAAUAACCAGUAUAUGUUGAAUAAUUUCAAUGUUGUCACUUUGAACCUAUUUACAUGGGUUAUGUAUGUAUUCAUGAAAGUUGAAAACUAUUAAAGAAAAGUUUUUUUUAACA